rnacentral:rRNA from 1 species
UAACGCGUGGGUAACCUGCCUCAUACAGGGGGAUAACAGUUAGAAAUGACUGCUAAUACCGCAUAAGCGCACAGUGCUGCAUGGCACAGUGUGAAAAACUCCGGUGGUAUGAGAUGGACUCGCGUCUGAUUAGCUAGUUGGUGGGGUAACGGCCUACCAAGGCGACGAUCAGUGGCCGGCCUGAGAGGGUGAACGGCCACAUUGGGACUGAGACACGGCCCAA